UGCAUCUAAAUGGUCAACGCUAAGGGCCCCUCCUAGUGUGGGCGUGGCUACCGGCGUUAACCGCAUCCAAGUGAUCCUAUCUAAGGGCGCUUCCUCAGAUGGGCGUGGCUACCUGCGUUAACCGCACCUAAGUGAUCCUAAGGGCUCUUCCACGGAUGGGCGUGGCUACCGGCGUUAACCACAUCUAGGAGCCAGCUCUGUGGCAUAGCGGAUAAAGCCACUGCCUGCAGUGCCAGCAUCCCAUAUGGAUGCCAGUUCAAGUCCCAGCUGCUCCAUUUCCGAUCCAGCUGUCUGCAGUGGCCUGGGAAAGCAGAAGAUGGCCAAGUCCUUGGGCCCCUGCACCCGCUUGGAAGACUGAGAAACAGUUCCUGGCUUCUAGCUUCGGAUUGGCGCAGCUCCGGCUUUUGCGGCCAAAUGGGGAGCGAACCAGCGGAUGAAAGACCUCUCUCUCUGCCUCUGCCUCUCUGUAACUUUGCCAUAAAAAUUAAAAAUUAAAAAAAAAAAAAC